CAGUAGCCGCGGGAAUACGUAGGGGGCGAGCGUUGUCCGAAGUUACUGGGCGUAAAGGGCGCGUAGGCGGUUUAUACAGUCAGAUGUGAAAUUCCUGGGCUCAACCUGGGGACUGCAUUUGAUACGUAUGGACUUGAGUGGAGAAGAGGGUCGUGGAAUCUCCAGUGUAGAGGUGAAAUUCGUAGAUAUUGGAAAGAACACCGGUGGCGAAGGCGGCGACCUGGUCUUUAACUGACGCUGAGGCGCGAAAGCGUGGGGAGCAAACAGGAUUAGAUACCCCCGUAGUCCCUGUCUCUUAUAC
rnacentral:rRNA from 1 species